rnacentral:sRNA from 22 species
GCACCUUAUAAAGCGGGUGCCGGGAUUGGCGUCCUGGAAUUGUUAUCGGCGACAAAUGACGCGCCUGCGUCUUUUUU